GGCCGCCGGCACAGGCAAUCCAAUGUCAUUUAGGGCUGGAUUCGAAGUAUAAAGACACACACAUGGUAACCCUAAAACUGAUCGAUUUAAUAAAUCGAUCAGUCGUCUGCUGGGGAGCGUGGGGGGGACGAUUUCAAGGAAGUGCUAUACUCAGGCGUGGGAGGUGAGGAGGCCUGCAGGCGUGGGAGGUGAUGAGGCCUGCACUGGUGUGACCCAUCCUCCUGACUUGCCAGGGACUGAGGGGGUCCCCGGAGGGGACAACUUGGCCGCCCUAGCCUGUGAUGCUUUAUUAUUAUUAUUAUUUUUAAUAUUUAUUCAUUUUUGAGAGAGAGAGAGCACGAGAGAGGGAGGGGCAGAGAAAGGGGAACAGAGGAUCCCAAUGUAGUUUGAGCCCCGCUGCAGGGCUGGAACUCCUGAACCGUGAUCACCACCUGGGCGGAAGUCUGCCGCUCAACCGACUGAGCCACCCAGGCGCCCCUGUGAUGCUUUAUCUUUUAAGGACGGGUGUGGGUCCAUGGGACUUUGCUCCAUUACUUCUGUAUCCUUUUGCAGACUUAGAACGUUUCACUGAGAAGAGAGAGACAAUCUCUCCCAAGAGGUGUGUUCUCUGGGGGCCCCCAAGAGAAAGUCACUGAUUGUGUGGGGAGACGAGAAAAGACUCGUAGGAGGCACUAUUCGAGGUGAAGCUGGAAGUGGAAGUGAGAAUCCCUCCAGCUCUCACCCCUCAGUUUUGGAAUUAUUUUCCUGCCCCUCUGCGUGCCUCGCUAAGCUGCAGGCUUCGGGAGAAGGCCUCAGAGCCCGCAGAUAUUUGGUUCAGCGUUGGACCUGGGGAGUCUGUGAGGGUGUUUCUGGAUGUGAUUAACUUGUGCCUGGGUAGACUGAGUACAGCAGAUGGGACAAAAGGCUGAAUAAGAAAGGAUGCUUCCCCUCUGCCUGCCUGUCUUAGAGCUGGGACAUCCGUCUUCUGCCUUCAAUCUCAGACUUGAACUUGCACCAUCGGCGCUCCUGAGACUCAGCCCUGCAGACUCAGACUAGAAAUAUCAGCUCUCCUGAGGCUCCAGGUUGCCUCCCACAGAUCUCGGACUUCUCAGCCUCUAUAAUCACAUGAGCCAUUGCCUUAUGAUUAGUAUCUGUCUAUCGACUGAUCAAUCAAUCGAUCGAUCAUCUAUUCUAUUGGGUCUGUUUCAGUGGAGAACCCAGACUCAUACCCUGGGUCUUAUACUUCCGUCCCCAGUACGUAGCCCAGACAUGCAUAGCAGGUGCUCUGCAGACGUCUGCUGCCCGAGGAUACAGAUGCAGAUCCCGGCAACUGCACGAGGUGUGGACCCGUGUCGACAUCCGGCUCGUUUGGUGAGCGGGCAGAGACUGGCGUGGCCCAUGGGCCGAGAGUUUCGGUGACCAUGGUCGACCGAAGUCCUGAAGCAGAUGACCCUCCUUCCGAAGUCUCAUCAGGAGGUCAUUGGUAGCAUCGCGCUAUGUCACAGGGCCUCCGUCACUCACCCGACUCACUUCAUCUCAUUACGCAGGCAUUUUCUCAUCUCCCGUCAUCAUAAGAAGAAGGGUAUUUGUGGUUGUUGGAGCCGACUUCUACCUGCGCUAAACCACCCCACCCUGAGGUUUUGAAGUGAAGUGUUUUGACUGGCUCCGAAUGUGAUCAUGUGAUUGAGCAUUGGCCAAUGAGAUCAUCGCAUUCCUGCCAAGUUAUCGGCUCAGCUGCCUGAUGCAUUCCCAACUCAGCUUCCUUUAGCUAGACCCAACAAUCAUCCACAGAAAUCCCAGUGCCACCCGACGCAAAAGGAAGUGAGAUGGAAGAGAAGCCAACCAACCGGAAGGAGAACUGGCCUUAACUGGUGGUGGGCGAACCAUCCUAUUCGUGCAAAUCACAUGGAAACACGUGACCCUGUGAGUACCUUGCUAGGGACUUGGGAGUGCCCGUGCAGGUGCUAAACCCUGAUGCUUAAGCUUAACGCCUUUCACAGCACGUUCACCUGUGACUACACACUCUGCCUUCUGGCAAACUGGAUUGACACCCAUUGCCCAAGCACCCCUGCUGUCCCCCCAUUGCCUUGCCUUUUCUUGCAUGAGUCCACCCUCCUGCGGGCCAACUCCUAUCUAAGUCAGACCCCUACCUCCCUUGCAAACAUCCGGGCCUUUUCAAUCAAUUCUCUUCCGUUAGCCUCCCCACCCUUAGAGAUUCUCAUCCUUUGCGUCUUUGAUUGCUGUUGGCAGACAGUACCUUGUAUUUUAGUCUUCCUUUCAUUCGGUGGGUAUUUGCUGAAUCCCCAGCCUGUCUCAGCCAUCGUUUGGGCACUGGGGAUACCAGAAGGGAGGCCAAGUCCCAGCAUUCUUGGAGCCUAUAGCUUAGUCGGGUGGGAAUUAUAAGUACCUGCAAAUGCAGAGAUCCUAUCAGAGAGUGAUAGGGCCAUGGAGAGGACCAGAGUGGCCAGGGGAGAGCGAUGCUGCUUUGGUAGGAUGGUCAUGGAAGGCCCUUCUGACGGGCCAACGGAAGGGCAUUCUCCGCAUGGAAAACAGCGGAUUCCAAAGCCAUAAGUCAGGACACCACAAGGCCAUGGUGGCUCCAGAUAAAAUUAUGUCGGGGGCCACUCUCCUUCCUGUCUCUAAGGAGCCCUUAGCCCCUGCGUGCUGUUCAGGGUCCUUUCACACCUGUUCCCUCCCCAGAUCUUCCCUUCCAGAGAAGGGUCCUUUUCUGCUUGGAAUUUCCGGCCUCUGUGUCAGAACAUGCCUGUUCUACGUUCUGGGACAGGCAAUGCCUCUGGUUGCAUGUUAAUCAGUGACAGGCUGCUAACGCAUUAUUUCAUCUCAGAUGGUGUCUGUGCUUAUCAGCAAGGCUUUUUUUUUUUUUUGAGAGAGAGAGAAAGAGAGAGGGAGAGAGAGAGAGAGAGAGAGAAUCUCGAGCAGGCUCCACACUCAGCACAGAGCCCACAGAGUCUCAUAACCCGAAGAUCCUGAUGUGAGUCGAAAUCAAGAGGUGGAUGCUCAACAGAAUGAGACCCCAGCUGCUCCCCCAACAAGACCUUUGAAGGGAAAAAAAAUGCCUUAAUUUCAAGGUGCACCUCUGACAGCAGGGGUGUAAGUCCGUGUGACAGGUCACUAGGACAGAUAUAGACUGUGGACGCAGUGAGCAUGCAGGCAGGUCCUGCAAAUCACAUGCGGUAUAUUCGUUUUCUAUCGCGACUGUAAUGCACAGCCACGGGUUUGAAGGCUUAAAACAAAGUCUAUUUACCCUUUCAUGUGUCUGCAGGUCAGAAGUCCAAGUUCACCGUGCCCUGGUGGGUCCUUUGCUUAGAGUCUCCCAAGACUGAGACCAGAGUGGUCAGUGGGACCAUGUUCCUUUCUGGAGGCUCUGGGGAUGAAUGUGUUUCCAAGCUCAUUUCAGUAGUUAGCUGAAUUCAGUUCCCCGUGGUUGUGGGACUGAGGAGCCCCUGCUUCCAUUGGGGGGGGGGCUGGUCUUUGCAACUAGAGGCUGCCCACAUUCCUUCUCGUGCUUUCCAUGCACACCCUGCCAGCAGCACUGGGGCAAAACCCUCCCAGGCUUCAAGUCUCUGACAUCUUCCGGCCCAUUUCUCUGCCUACGGCCAGAGAAAGUUCUCUGCUUCUGAGGACUUUUCAGAAUUAUGUGAUUAUAGGGGCGCCUGGGUGGCUCCGUCGGUGAAACGGCAGUCUCUUGAUUGCCGCUCAGGUCAUGAUCUCACAGUUUGGGAGUUCGAGCUCCACGUCGAGCUCUACACUGACAGCACAGAGCCCGCCUGGGAUUCUCUCCCUCUCCCUUGCUCUCCGCCCCUCCCCGACUCACUCUCUCUCAAAAGUCAGUAAACAUUAAAGAAAUAAAAUCAGAUCGUGUGAUUAUGUGGGGCCCACCAGGAAAACCCAAAGCAAUCUCCCUAUUUUAAGGUCUCUAGCCUUAACCACGGCCGCAAAGCCCCCUUUGCCCUAUAACAUAGCGUCCUAACAGGUUCUGGGGACUGUGCCGUGGGCAUCUUUGGAGGGGGGCGUUCUGCCCACCACGCUGAGCAAGGAGGCAGAGCGACAGGAUUUACAUCCUGGCGCUUGCAUCACGUGGCACUACGAUGGCUCUUACGGCCCCUUGUGCCACCUGCGGUAAUUCUCCAGCAGGUAAGGGCCGCUGUCGCAGAGCUGGUGAGGAAUCUGGGCUCCGGAGCCAGACUGCUCGUGCUCAAAGCCUGGUGCCUCUGUUCGCUGUGUGAGGCCGGAGAAGUUUUUAAGCUCCGUGCUUAUUUCGUCGUCCACGCAGCGGAGACAGCGACCUCGGCCGCAGAGGGUAGUUACGAGGAGUAAACGAGUUGACACACGCAGGGGGCUGAGUACUGUGCCCGGCACACGGUGGCAGCAAGCUGUCACCACCAUCAACCACCUUAUCAUCAGCAACCGCACUGCCACGUCCUGCCACGGUCCCCCACGGCCCUUUUUACCAUUUGCAGGCAUAACUUUUUUUUUUUUAAGUUUACUUAUUUAUUCUGGGAGAGAGAGACAGAGAGAGAGAGAGAAAGGGAGAAUCCCAAGCAGGCUCCACACUGCCAGCACAGAGCCUGACUCGGGGCUCAAACCCAUGAACCCUAAGAGCGUGAGCUGAGCUGAAAACAAGAGCCCGACGCUUAACCGACUGAGCCACCCAGGCUCAAGCCUAACUUUUGUCCAUGUGUUUGCUCAGUGUGUAUUACGCCCAACGAGAUUGAAGUUCCGUAAGGGGUAUGCCGUGGGAGGGAGUUGCGUCGGAUUCAUUUUCAGUUACCUAAGUUAUCAAGAAUACAUUUUGAAAGCAGAUCGAAAAUUCGAGAACGAGGCCAAGGUCUCCGUUGGGCACCAUGUUUCCUCCUGGUCCCUUCUCUCCCCCAGAGAGAGGCGGCCUGAAGUCGGAUGAUAUCAAGUGUUGCUGUGGGUGUGAAGACAUGGAAAUGCCCAGACGAUGUAAGUGGAUACGGCCUCCACGGAGGGCAGCCUGGCGGCAGCGAUUAAAAUGAAAAACGGGCAUUUCUCAUGACUCGGCGGUUUCGCUUCUCCGGGAUCCCUUACAGCCACACAGGAGCCGCAGAGAGGGAUGCCCUUUGCUGUAUUUUUUGUCACGGCAGAAACGAGACAAGUAAACCGUCAUCCAAAGAGGAACGGUGAAUUAAAACACAGCUUCUCCCGGAAGGCGGUGCAAGGAGUAAAUGUGGGCCUUCUAGCUCUGUUUCAAAACUUCAUAUUCGUGUUUGUACUUCGCCUGUUCUAAUAAGACCAGCAGCCUUGCUGGUUCUAGAAGGGGAAGGCGAGGCACAGACUUAGUUAAGUACCUUCCCCGAGGUUAUCUAAUGGGGCUGGAAUCUGAACCCGGGCAGUCCGACGCCCAAGUAAGUGGGGUCAGUCCCGAUGCGAGACAGCCUUUUCCUUUUCUUUUUUCGCAAGGCACGGAAUAUAUUCAUAUCGUUCAAGUCUUCGUGUGUACAAAAGCAAUGGGCAACAAGUGAGAGUCACCGAAAGUUCAGAACUUUAAGGGCGCCUGGUCACCGAACUUUCGAGAUAGCUGGAGAGCAGUGGACAGCCACAGAAAGGAACAAGUGGGUCUUUAUGGCCACUUCCGUCUUGUUUACUUUUGUUUUCCCAGGGCUUCCCAAGGCAGCUCGCGCAUGGUAAGAACGCAUCAAGUAUUAAGGAAUAAAUACAUAACCUUAGUGCAAGGCCUGCCCUCCGGUCUGACCGAAGGCAGGAAAACAGAGCCCGGACCUAGGUCUUCAUGUUCCUUGUACCCCGCCCCCCAGGCCCUGUGUCCCUGGGAUCCUGGCUGGGCAGCUGCAAGAAGUUUCGGGUUUGCUGGAGCGUAGAGCUGGAGGUCUUUGAGGCUAAGUGACGAACUGGACAUUCCUGGAAGAGCAUUAGGGAACCUCAAAGAAAA